AAACUGGAAUGUCUGAGAAUUCGAAUGUGCUGUCAACAUUCUGACAAGUCACAAAGGGCUGUUGCAGCAGUUCUUAGGAAUCAAGCAACUGCAACCUGACUGGGUGGCAGGGGAAAUGCCUUGGCCAACUAGCUGCAUUUUAAGUUCCCUGGGUUCCAGUAGCUGCUUGUUCUCUUCACCAGUGUCAAGGCAAAAGAAGCUUCCCAGGUCUCAAUCUCAAGAAGUGCAGUGUUUCUCCUACAUAAAGAGAACAGCUUACAUCAUGCCACCUCACCUCUUUUCAAUGCCUAAAAGGCUACGGGACAAAUUUUGAGCCUAAUUCUACCCAGCAAAUAAAAACUUCAUGAAGUUUAUUGUUA